rnacentral:rRNA from 1 species
AUUGAACGCUGGCGGCAGGCCUAACACAUGCAAGUCGAGCGAGCGGCGGACGGGGGAGUAAUGUCUGGGAAACCGCCCGAUGGUGGGGGAUAACUACUGGAUACGGUAGCUAAAAUCGUACAUCACCAGAUGUGUCCAGAUGGGAUUAGCUGUUGGGUGGGGUAACGGCUCACCUAGGCGACGCUCCCUAGCUGGUCUGAGAGGAUGACCAGGCACACUGGAACGGAGACACGGUCCAGACUCCGACGGGAGGCAGCAGGGGGGAAUAGUGCACAAGGGGCGCAAGCCUGAUGCAGCCAUGCCGCGUGUAUGAAGAAGGCCUUCGGGUUGGAAAGUACUUUCAGCGGGGAGGCGUUACCCGCAGAAGAAGCACCGGCUAACUCCGUGCCAGCCGCCGCGGUAAUUC